AGAUAAUAGACUACCCUGGUAGUCCAUGCCGUAAACGUUGGGCACUAGGUGUGGGGGACAUUCCACGUUUCCGCGCCGUAGCUAAACGCAUUAAGUGCCCGCCUGGGGAGUACGGCCGCAAGGCUAAAACUCAAAGGAAUUGACGGGGGCCCGCACAAGCGGCGGAGCAUGCGGAUUAAAUUCGAUGCAACGCGAAGAACCUUACCAAGGCUUGACAUGGACCGGAUCGCCGCAGAAAUGUGGUUUCUCCUUUUGGGGCCGGUUCACAGGUGGUGCAUGGUUGUCGUCAGCUCGUGUCGUGAGAUGUUGGG
rnacentral:rRNA from 1 species